rnacentral:tRNA from 1 species
GGUUUGCAGCUCAGUGGCAGAGCACUUACCUCACACAUGUGAGGUACUGAGUUCGAUUCUCAGCACCA